AAUGAAGACCUGGAUCACAACUACUGUCACAGUAGAAGAAGCACUUGUCUUCCCGGUUUUUGGAAGACUGUGCUAGUUUGGUGAGUAUUUGUCAAUUCAAGUUUCUUCUACAUAGAAGGCAUCAGAAUGACAUUUCCUAGGAAAAUUCAUGCUGCAGGCACAGGCUGUGUGACAGUGAAACGACAAUAUCAGGUGCUCUGGCUCCAUCCUUUCUGUCCCCUUUCAGAACAUGUUUUAAACAUAUUAAAGACGUUCUUCUC